rnacentral:rRNA from 1 species
AAUAGAUACCCAGGUAGUCCACGCCGUAAACGGUGGGCACUAGGUGUGGGCGACAUUCCACGUCGUCCGUGCCGCAGCUAACGCAUUAAGUGCCCCGCCUGGGGAGUACGGCCGCAAGGCUAAAACUCAAAGGAUUGACGGGGGCCCGCACAAGCGGCGGAGCAUGUGGCUUAAUUCGACGCAACGCGAAGAACCUUACCAAAGCUUGACAUACACCGGAAACGUCCAGAGAUGGGCGCCCCCUUGUGGUCGGUGUACAGGUGGUGCAUGGCUGUCGUCAGCUCGUGUCGUGAGAUGUUGGGUUAAGUCCCGCAACGAGCGCAACCCUUGUCCCGUGUUGCCAGCAGGCCCUUGUGGUGCUGGGGACUCACGGGAGACCGCCGGGGUCAACGUCGGAGGAAGGUGGGGACGACGUCAAGUCAUCAUGCCCCUUAUGUCUUGGGCUGCACACGUGCUACAAUGGCCGGUACAAUGAGCUGCGAUACCGCGAGGUGGAGCGAAUCUCAAAAAGCCGGUCUCAGUUCGGAUUGGGGU